AUUAUAAUUAUGCAGCGAAGAUGUUGGAUAAAAAGGUAAAAGUACUGGUAUACACUUUUGAGUUUGUAAUAGGAAUUAAUUGAAAUGUCAACUCUUUAUAUUAAAUAUUAAAAGCGCAACAUUAAGACAUAGAAUUACAGUUAAAUGCAAUAUAAUUAUUAAACACAUGCAAAAGGGACUGAAGUGUGAAUUGUUACUGUGUAUUCCAUAUCUCACAAAAAUUGUAAACACACUUUACAAGUGUAGGAUAAGUCGACUUUGGACAAUCAUGGUCAGAAGUACAAGGAACGCGAGCUGCAUUGUCAAAUAAGAAAAAAUAAAUAUUAUUAAAAGAUGAUGUAAUACUAUAUAUAAGAGAAAUUUGAAAAUGGUGUGAAAGGUGACAUACUUCUACUCGUUACAACAAAAAAUAAAGAAGAAAAGACGAUCAAAGCAUAAUAAAACAUGAUCAUUUGAGUCAUGAUUUUCUCUUUUGUAUGUAAGAAAUAGAAUUAUAUUGAUCCCUUUAUAAAUAAAACUUCCAUACUUUGUUAACUUCAAUUAAAUAGUUUUUAGCAUUUACAAAUUGCAAAAAGUC
rnacentral:lncRNA from 1 species